rnacentral:rRNA from 1 species
AGAUUAAGUUAUUAAGGGCGCACGGUGGAUGCCUUGGCACUAGAAGCCGAUGAAGGACGUUACUAACGACGAUAUGCUUUGGGUAGCUGUAAGUAAGCGUUGAUCCAGAGAUUUCCGAAUGGGGGAACCCAGCAUGAGUUAUGUCAUGUUAUCGACAUGUGAAUUUAUAGCAUGUCAGAAGGCAGACCCGGAGAACUGAAACAUCUUAGUACCCGGAGGAAGAGAAAGAAAAAUCGAUUCCCUGAGUAGCGGCGAGCGAAACGGGAAGAGCCCAAACCAACAAGCUUGCUUGUUGGGGUUGUAGGACACUCUAUACGGAGUUACAAA